UUAUACCGAAUUCAAAGGGGG
rnacentral:piRNA from 1 species